rnacentral:rRNA from 1 species
UGGGGAAUAUUGGACAAUGGGCGCAAGCCUGAUCCAGCAAUGCCGCGUGUGUGAAGAAGGCCUUCGGGUUGUAAAGCACUUUAAGCAGGGAAGAAAAACUCGGUCUAAUACAUCGAGUCUUGACGGUACCUGAAGAAUAAGCACCGGCUAACUCUGUGCCAGCAGCCGCGGUAAUACAGAGGGUGCUAGCGUUAAUCGGAUUUACGGGCGUAAAGCGUGUGUAGGUGGUUGUUCAAGUCAGUUGUGAAAUCCCUGGGCUUAACCUGGGAACUGCUUCUGAGACUGAACGACUAGAGUACGGUAGAGGGUGGUGGAAUUUCCGGUGUAGCGGUGAAAUGCGUAGAUAUCGGAAGGAACAUCAAUGGCGAAGGCAGCCACCUGGGCCUGUACUGACACUGAGACACGAAAGCGUGGGGAUCAAACAGGAUUAGAUACCCUGGUAGUCCACGCCGUAAACGAUGAGAACUUGACGUCGGUUUGCUCUGCAAGUCGGUGUCGUAGCUAACGCGAUAAGUUCUCCGCCUGGGGAGUACGG